GACGAACGCUGGCGGCGUGCCUAAUACAUGCAAGUCGAACGCAGUGGGGACGGGUGAGUAAAACGUGGGUAACCUCCCAUCAGAGGGGAUAACACUUGGAAACAGGUGCAAAACCGAUACUGAUGGAUGAACCCGCGGUGCAUUAGCUAGUUGGUGAGGUAACGGCUCACCAAGGCCACGAGGCAUAGCCGACCUGAGAGGGUGAUCGGCCACACUGGGACUGAGACACGGCCCAGACUCCUACGGGAGGCAGCAGUAGGGAAUCUUCGGCAAUGGACGAAAGCCUGAUCGAGCAACGCCGCGUGUGUGAAGAAGGUUUUCGGAUCGUAAAACUCUUUUGGUAGAGAAGCGGUAUCUAACCAGAAAGCCCCGGCUAACUACGUGCCAGCCGCCGCGGUAAUUC
rnacentral:rRNA from 1 species